UACGUAGGGUGCAAGCGUUGUCCGGAAUUAUUGGGCGUAAAGAGCUCGUAGGCGGUUUGUCACGUCGGAUGUGAAAACCCGAGGCUUAACCUCGGGCCUGCAUUCGAUACGGGCUGACUAGAGUUCGGUAGGGGAGACUGGAAUUCCUGGUGUAGCGGUGAAAUGCGCAGAUAUCAGGAGGAACACCGGUGGCGAAGGCGGUUCUCUGGGCCUGUUCUGACGCUGAGGAGCGAAAGCGUGGGGAGCGAACAGG
rnacentral:rRNA from 1 species